rnacentral:rRNA from 1 species
GCUUAUACUAAGCUAGCACCUGCCUUUUAGGAUAUCUUCGGCAAAUUGAAGCUAAUACAUGCACCUAUGGCUCCCUCGGGGGUCGCAAUAUUAGAACUACCAGUUUACUGGAUAGUUGACUUUAAUUACCGUAGAAAAUCGGCAGCGUGAGCUCCGAUGGGUGCAAGUUAUGUACGCCCUAUCACCCAGCAGGCUGUUUAACCGACAGCCAGGGGUAUAACGGGUAACGGAGAACUAGGGUUCGUCUCCGGAGAAGAAGCCUUCGAAAGGCUACUACAUCCAAGGAAGGCAGCAGGCGCGUAACUUAUCCACUACAUCAGUGAGAUAGUAACUAGUCUUAACUAUUAACUGACUUUUCAAGUUAGUUAUGGUCCAUGAGUUGAGCUUAAAUAGCUCUUCGAGGAUCAAGUGGAGGGCAAGUCUGGUGCCAGCAGCCGCGGUAAUUCCAGCUCCACUAGCGUAAAUUAUUACUGCUGCGGUUAAA